rnacentral:misc_RNA from 1 species
AUCGUCCUUUAUCAUAUCACAUCCCUUUCUUUAUCUCUCUUUCCUUCUGACUUUCCUUUUAAUUUUUUCUCCAAUGACAUCACUCCCACCAUCCCCCAAUCCCCCUCUUUCUCAUUCUCCCUAACUUUUUCCCCUCUGUCCUUCCCUACCUCUCUCUCUAUCUCAUCUCUGUACUCCCUCUCUCUCUAUUCCUUACUCGAUCGUUUUCCCCCUCCUUUCACCUUUCUGUCAACUAACGGCUCCAGGUUUCUAUCAUGGCGCGGAGUUCAGAAUACUUUUUCUGUUCCUCAAAGUCGCAAAGAAAAUUAAUAUAACGGUCAGCUGACCAGUGCAUCCCAUGACAACUGUUUUCUAUGAGCAUCUGAUUGCCAGAAACAAUGUGUUUGGAGAAAGAAUAUACUGUAUGCAUAUAGUUAUCAGAGUGCCAUUGGUUACGUUAAAGUUCUGACAUCUGAGGUGUGGGCUUCGAACAAGAAACCUUCAACAGGGAUGGCCACUUCUACUGAGGCCAGUUCCACAGAGGCCAGUCCUACUGAGACCACUUCUAAUGAGGCCAGUUCUACUGAGGCCAGUUCAACUAAGGAUGUGCCCAAUGCAGACCCUGGAGAAGAUCUGAAGGCUAAACCAGUCACAUGUACUCUCAAACAGAUGACCGAUGCCGGACAGUUCUCAUACUCCAGUAUUUGUGCUCUGGGACUGAAGGUACUCUUUGAUGACAAAUGGCAUCAGUCAUAUAAAAAUGAUGUAUUGACGAAAAUCUUCAAUUAUUUUGAUCAACCUAAACAGGUUCGUGUCAACAUCAAAGCGUUCUUGGAGGGUCAUGGCAGUGAUGAAGUCGACCCCUACAUUGAAGUUUUGCUGCGUGAAGAAGUCUUGAAAGAUUCCCUAUUACCAUUGGUUGUUGAGCUUAUUCCACUAUUAAUUAACAAUGGUAGAUACGAUGCUCGUUCGCGAGUGCUGGCCAAACACCUUGCUUGGUUGUUUCGAAUCAACUGGGACGACAUCAUAGACUUUGAGAAGACAUACUCCGAGCAGUUGAAGACAGAUGCUUACAGAGUAUCUCAGGAAGAAGCUGAAGAGAAAAGCAAACGAGCAAGGAAUAAUAAAUUUAAAAGGGUUGCCCUUAUAAGUUUAGCCACUGUUGGUGGCGGGACCUUGAUUGGUUUAACUGGGGGUCUGGCUGCUCCUUUAGUGGCCGCUGGUGCUGGUGCCAUUAUAGGAGGGGCUGGGGCAGCAGCUCUUGCUACUACCACUGGUCUCGCUGUCAUUAGUUCCUUGUUUGGUGUUGCUGGUGCUGGACUAACAGGGUACAAGAUGAGACGCCGUGUUGGUGCUGUGGAAGAAUUUGUCUUUGAGCCACUUGUGCCUGGUUUAAGACUUCAAGCUGAGAACAUGGGCAAACAACUUCAUAUAACGAUUGCUGUCAAUGGAUGGCUUAAUAGCACAUUGGAAGAUUACAAAGAGCCUUGGCAGACUUUGAACGAGAGUUUGGAACAGUACAGUUUACGAUGGGAAUCUCGAUACCUUCUGGAGCUGGGGAAGGCCUUUGACUAUAUUGUUGGAAUGGCCAUUGGUGUGGCCACCCAGGAAGUGCUCAAAUAUACCAUUUUAUCUGGUCUGUUGGCUGCUAUUACUUGGCCACGUUCUCUUGUAUCCGCAGCGGGUGUCAUCGACAAUCCGUGGAGUGUAUGUCUGCGGAGGUCAAAAGAAGUUGGUAAGCAACUAGCAGAGGUGCUUCUUGCCAGAGAACAGGGAUGCCGUCCAGUGUCGCUGAUUGGCUACAGUCUCGGUGCCAGGGUAAUAUAUUGCUGUUUGGAAGAACUAUCCAAAAGAAAAGAGCUGACUGGUUGUUGAAGUUCCUCUACAGAUCGUCCUCCAUGCAGUUCCAAAUCGCCGGCUUGAUGCCUGUCAAACUGACGCACCACUGUAUGCACAAUAUCGAUUUAAGUGAUGUGGUCAAAGGGCAUUUGGAUUACAUGAAGAAAUUAGACAAUGUUCUUAAAGUUGUUGGAAUACGUACGAAACAGUUGUCCCCUCUCUCGUCUUCAGUGUCAUCUUUGGCAAGUCUUUGCUCUGCGAGGGAGAAAGGCAGCA